rnacentral:lncRNA from 1 species
UCUCUCUCUCUCUCUCUAUAUAUAUAUAUAUAUAAUUAGGCUACUAUACUAUCUAUAGUACGGGAGCUCCCGUACUAUAGUGUUGUUUUCGAUCUUAGGGCAUUCAAAUCAACGAUCCACACCGUUAAAUAUGAUCUAGGGUAUAUGAAAUUCUUAGAAAUAAAAUUUUAGUUCUUUUCAAUAUCGUUUACUUAGUAAAUAAAUUAUGUCAAAAUGGACGGUGGGAAUUGAAUACUCUUUAAAAUUUGAGCAUAGGACUUUUAAAUUCAAGAUCAAGAAUGUUAAUCUUAAUCUAUAUAGUUUAAAGAAUUUUCUAUCAAAAUUUGAAGAAAUUUAGAUUCUUCUACACCGUUAAACUCCAAACUCGUCAUAAUAGUCUUUGAAAAUUGACAAUUUUGAAAUAGUUUGAUCAUAAAGUAAACUUUGUCGAAAAAAUAUAAAAUUUUACUUCUAGAAACUUUAAAUANAAACGGUCUAUAGCGACACUUUUAAAUGUAGGUACAUGUCAAAAAAGUGCCGCUAGCUAAAAUUACCGACACUUUUAAAAGUGUUGCUAUAUGUGGGGUCGCUAAGUAUAUAGUGACAGUUAAAGAGUGUCGCUAUAACCUAAAAAGUGCUGCUAAUUUACCAACACUUAUUUAAGCAUUUAGCAACCGCCGAAACUCUAUCUCGUUGGCUGCGGUGGCGGAGGAGGACGACAGGAAAGGCUUUUCGUCUAGAAUUUCAAUGAAUUGAGUGAAGAGAGAAGAAAAGAUGGUAAUUGAUUUUUCUUUUUUUUUUCUUUUCUGUUUGUAAUCGGGCCAAAUGAACUGGGUGUGGUGGGUUGAGUAGAGUAAUCUUUUAUUUUUAAUUGGAUUGGGCUUUAUAUUUAGGCAUUAGUAAAUAUUUUUUAAGUUUUAGCAUAAAUGAAACACUUACUCAAAAGUGUCCCAAACAUGUGUCCCUAUAACCUAAUUCUGUUGUAGUGUGAAAAUGAUCCAAAGGGUAGAUCCAACGGCAGAAAACUUGGUAGCACUAAAUACUUCGUGCUAUUAAUAACAUAGUAGCCGGACUCUACAUAUAUAUAUAUAUAGAAUUAGGCUACUAGACUAUCUAUAGAACCGGAGCCCCAGUACUAUAGUCUUGUUUUCGAUUUUAGAGUAUUCAAAUUAACGAUCCACACCGUUAAAUAUGAUUUAGGAUAUAUGAAGUUCUUAGGAAUAAAAUUUUAGUUUUUUUCGACAUCGUUUACUUAGUAAAUAAAAUUAUGUCAAAAUAGAAGGUGGAAAUUGAAUAAUUUUUAAAAUUUGAGUAUAGGACUUUUAAAUUCAAGAUCAAGAAUAUUAACCUUAAUCUAGAUAGUUUAAAAUAUUUUCUAUCAAAAUUUGAAAAAAUUUAGAUUCUUCUACACCGUUAAACUCCAAACUCGCCAUAGUAGCCAUUGAAAAUUGACAAUUUUGAAAUGGUUUGAUCAUAAAGUAAACUAUGUCGAAAAAAUACAAAAUUUUAUUUCUAAAAACUUUAAAUACUCUAGAUCAGUUUUAACGGUGUGGAUCGUUGAUUUGAAUACCCUAAAAUCGAAAACGAGACUAUAGUACCUGAGCUCCGGUACUAUAGAUAGUACAGAAGACUAGCUAUAUAUAUAGAGAGAGAGAGAGGGAGAGAGUAAGGCUACUAUGCUUCUGUAAAUACGGAGUCUUCCGUGCUUUCAGAUCAUUUUUCAUGUUGCGACUUUCGAAUCGUCGAUCGGCUCCGUUAAACUUGAUCUAGAGUAUUUGAAGUACCUAGAAAAUAAACUAUACGAUUUUUCGAUAUUAUUUGUCUAGUGAACGAAGGGGUUCAAAAUCAACGGCUGAAAAUAAAAAUCUUACAAAACGUAAUAAUAUGACAUUAAAAUUUUAGAUCAAAGAUAUUGAUCUUGUUUUAUAUAGUAUAAAGAAUUUUCUAUCAAAAUUUCACGGGAUUUGAAUAUUUCUACACCAUUAAACUUGCAAACGGCUCACUACGGCCAUUAAAAUUAUUGAUUUUGAGCCCCUUCGAUCACUAGGCAAAUAAUAUCGAAAAAUCAUAAAAUUUAUUUUCUAGAUACUUCAAAUACUCUAGAUCAAGUUUAACGGAGCCGAUCGACGAUUCGAAAGUCGCAACAUCGAAAACGAUCUGAAAGCACGGAAGGCUCCGUGCUUCCAAAAGCAUAGUAGCCUCAUAUAUAGUAGAGUUACUAUGCUAUUGGAAGCAUAGGGGAUUUAGUGCUUCUGACUUUUUGGCUCUUAGAUCAACUUCUUUGAUCAUUUCUAACCUUUGGAUUAAUACACCACUCAACCCUAGGGGUACUACUAAACCCUAGGAGGGACCGCAAUCAUCUCAACCGUAUAUUUCUUGAUCUAAGGAUCAGAAAGUUGGAAGUAUAAAACCCUCUAUACUUCCAAUAGCAUAGUAGCUCUACUACACUAUAUAUAUAUAUGAACAAACUAUCCUUUUUAUCAUUUGUUGUGAAGACGAGGAGCACAUGCUGUUGGCUUAAAUGGGCUAGCAUCCUGCCCUGUGGCAGGAGGCCAUGUGGGCCAAGUCAUGUUCGAAAUGGCGUGAGGCUGGGUGGGCCGAGUCAUGUUCGAAGUGGCGUGAGGUUGGUUGAACCGAGUCACAAUCGAGACCCGUGGGCUCUAUAUCUGUACGCUUUAAGUGAAUUGGUUGCAUAUUUCUAACAGCUCGAAUUUUUGGGAUUAAUGGUUAGCGCUAACGAUCCGACGCAUGCAUGUGUUGCAAAUUCUGGUCUAGUUG